GAUGAAGAACGUAGCGAAAUGCGAUAAGUAAUGUGAAUUGCAGAAUUCAGUGAAUCAUCGAAUCUUUGAACGCAUCUUGCGCUCCUUGGUAUUCUGAGGAGCAUGCCUGUUCGAGCGUCAUUAUCAACCCUCAAGCCUGGCUUGUUGUUGGACCUCACCUCGUCAAGAGAUGGGCCCAAAAGGCAAUGGCGGCGUCGUGAUCGACCCCCGGUGCAACGAGCUUUGUAGCACGCACGGUGCCGGUCGGUUCGGCCCGGUCUCAAAUAUGUUAUUUCUCAAGGUUGACCUCGGAUCAGGUAGGAAUACCCGCUGAACUUAAGCAUAUCAAUAAGCGGAGGA
rnacentral:misc_RNA from 1 species